CCUACGGGUGGCAGCAGUGAGGAAUAUUGGUCAAUGGGCGAGAGCCUGAACCAGCCAAGUCGCGUGAAGGAUGAAGGAUCUAUGGUUUGUAAACUUCUGUUAUAGGGGAAUAAAGUGAGGAACGUGUGCCGUUUUGUAUGUACCAUAUGAAUAAGCAUCGGCUAACUCCGUGCCAGCAGCCGCGGUAAUACGGAGGAUGCGAGCGUUAUCCGGAUUUAUUGGGUUUAAAGGGUGCGUAGGUGGUUAAUUAAGUCAGCGGUGAAAGUUUGGGGCUCAACCAUAAAAUUGCCGUUGAAACUGGUUGCCUUUCGUAUAUUUGCGGUAGGCGGACUGCGUGGUGUAGCGGU
rnacentral:rRNA from 1 species